rnacentral:rRNA from 1 species
GAAUAUUGGACAAUGGGCGCAAGCCUGAUCCAGCCAUGCCGCGUGGGUGAUGAAGGCCUUAGGGUUGUAAAGCCCUUUCGGCGGGGAAGAUAAUGACGGUACCCGCAGAAGAAGCCCCGGCUAACUUCGUGCCAGCAGCCGCGGUAAUACGAAGGGGGUUAGCGUUGCUCGGAAUCACUGGGCGUAAAGCGCACGUAGGCGGAUUGCUAAGUCAGGGGUGAAAUCCUGGAGCUCAACUCCAGAACUGCCUUUGAUACUGGCGACCUUGAGUCCGGGAGAGGUGAGUGGAACUGCGAGUGUAGAGGUGAAAUUCGUAGAUAUUCGCAAGAACACCAGUGGCGAAGGCGGCUCACUGGCCCGGUACUGACGCUGAGGUGCGAAAGCGUGGGGAGCAAACAGGA